AUUGAACGCUGGCGGCAGGCCUAACACAUGCAAGUCGAGCGAGCGGCGGACGGGUGAGUAAUGUAUGGGGACUGCCCGAUAGAGGGGGAUAACUACUGGAAACGGUGGCUACUACCGCAUACUAUCGGAUAACCCAUGUGGGAUUAGCUAGUAGGUGGGGAAAAGGCUAACCAAGCCGACGAUCUCUAGCUGGUCUGAGAGGAUGACCAGCCUAUAUAGGAUUGCGACCCGGCACAGACUCCUACGGAGGCAGCAGUGGGGACUCUUGCGCAAGUGGGACAACCCUGAUGCAGCCAUGCCGCGUGAAUUAAGAAGGCCUUGGGGGUGUAAAGGUCUUUCGGUUGCGAGGCGUUACCUACAGAAGAAGCACCGGCUAACUCCGUGCCAGCAGCCGCGGUAAUUC
rnacentral:rRNA from 1 species